rnacentral:rRNA from 1 species
UGCCAGCAGCCGCGGUAAUUCCAGCUCCAAUAGCGUAUAUUAAAGUUGUUGCGGUAAAAAAGCUCGUAGUUGGAUUUCUGUUGAGGACGACCGGUCCGUACCAUGUACGCGCAUCUGGUUCGGCCUCGGCAUCCUCUCGAUAGACGUUUCUGCGCUUGAUUGCGUGGAGCGGAUUUCGGGACUUUUACUUUGAGGAAAUUAGAGUGUUCACGGCAGGCUAUCGCCAGAAUACAUUAGCAUGGAAUAAUACUAUAGGAUCUCGGUUCUAUUUUGUUGGUUUCUAGACCCGGGGUAAUGAUUAAUAGGGACAAUUGGGGGCAUUUGUAUCAACACGUCAGAGGUGGAAUUCUUGGAUUGUGUUGCGACAAACUACUGCGAAAGCAUUUGCCAAGAAUGUUUUCAUUGAUCAAGAACGAAAGUAAGGGGAUCGAAGACGAUUAGAUACCGUCGUAGUCUUUACCAUAAACUAUGCCGACUAGAGAUGGGGCAUCGUUCACUUACGACUUGCUCCGCAUCUUAUGAGAUAUCAAAGUCUUUGGGUUCCGGGGGGAGUAUGGUCGCAAGUCUGAAACUUAAAGGAAUUGACGGAAGGGCACCACCAGGAGUGGAGCCUGCGGCUUAAUUUGACUCAACACGGGGAAACUCACCAGGUCCAGACAUAAUAAGGAUUGACAGAUUGAUAGCUCUUUCUUGAUUUUAUGGGUGGUGGUGCAUGGCCGUUCUUAGUUCGUGGAGUGAUUUGUCUGCUUAAUUGCGUUAACGAACGAGACCUUAACCUGCUAAAUAGGAGCGCAUAUCUUCGGAUAAGCGCCUUUCUUCUUAGAGGGACUACAUGCGUUUCAGUAUGCGGAAGUUUGAGGCUAAAACAGGUCUGUGAUGCC